UUCCGGCAAGAAGUAAGAUGUUUUCAAUUGCUUGAUGAGGAAGAACGGAGUAGAAAGAAGGAAAAAAUUUCUGGAGAAAAGAAGAGAUGGCAAAGCACAGAGCAGUGUUUAAAGAAGCAGAAAAGAAGUGGAAUUGAAAAUCUAUCAAAAUUUGAAAUCUACAUCUGUGCAAAUCCCAACCUCAUAUAAGAAUUUCCCAAAUCAAGAAAUGUGCUGUGCUUUUCAGAGCUUGCUGAAUCCUGGAAAAAGGAGAAUAUAUUCUUCUGUCUCAUUGGAUAUUUCAUUGGGCAAUUGAAUUUCUUGAAGAUUAUCGGGCAGACCAUGCAUUCAUAAUAAUAAAU
rnacentral:lncRNA from 1 species